rnacentral:rRNA from 1 species
AACGAACGCUGGCGGCAUGCCUAACACAUGCAAGUCGAACGAGAACGUCGGGUCUAGUGGCGCACGGGGGCGUAACGCGGGGGAACUUGCCCGUGGGUUCGGAAUAACUCACCGUAGGGGGUGCUAAUAAAGGAUAAGGUAAUAGGACCAAAGAUUUAUCGCCUUUGGCUGGGGGCGGGUUGGUUUGGCGGGUUGGUAGGGUAAAAGCCGACCAAGGCGACGUUCCAUAGCUGGUCGGAUAGGAGGAUACGGCACACUGGGACUGCGACACGGCCCAGACCCCGACGCGAGGCAGCAGUGGGGUAUAUUGGGCGCUGGGCGAAAGCCUGAUCCCGCAAUGUCGCGUGAGUGGUGAAGGCCUUAGGGUUGCAAAGCUCUUUUAGCCGGGAUGAUAAUGACGGUACCGGGUGAAUAAGCACCGGCUAACUCCGUG